UCCACAUCAUAGCAGUGUUAUUCAUAUAUUAAAACUGUCAACUGCACACUCAUUUGGCAGAAUAAAAGUUUGACAAUUAUUAAUUUGUUCUUUGUCAUAUUUUAGUAACAUUUAUAAUUAAGCAAGUUGUAAUUAAACAAAUGACUGCAACAUUUCCCCCUGUUAAGUGCAGUAGACUGAAAUUAAUAGCUUUAUUUGGAAAUAUAACAUAUCUAAUUUUUAAUGGACUUAUAUAAAAUCUUUCUUCAACAUAGACCCCACUAAUGAACUGAUUAAGUGUUAUUUUUUUAUAAAAAGAAGAGAGAAAAUGCACAAAGGUAGGAAAGGAAAAGAAAGUGACAAAAUAAUAGGUUUUGUUAAAUGUUCUUCAGAAAAUGAAUUAAUUGACAAAGUUUUUGCAGGGUGUGAAAAAAAUGUUCAAGGUCAAGCUCCUGGGGCUAAGCCCCCCCUAAAACUCAAUCCUAGUGACGUCCAUGCUACUGCUAAAAAAACACAGAAGAAAAAGUAGUGUGUUUGUGUUUGUGUGUGUGUGUGUGCGCGCGCGCGCGUGCGCGUGGUUCGUUCGUGUCUCCAGGCUAGUAAGUACUGAGGGCUUCAUCUAUCUAAAAGGAGUCAUUUUUAUCUGAAUGUGGCAGCACCGGGACACAGCAGCAGAGCGAAUAUGACGAUGACAUCAUGGAACUGGUCUUUGGAAAAGUUUUCCCUGAACCAACUCCGUUUCUAGAUGAGGUAGAGAAGAUCUGCAUCUCACCAACCCUCUGAUCUCAGUAUUCAGACAACGGAGGUCUCCCACUGUUAUCCAGGACCAGUUUGAAGCCCACAUACUGCCCCUCCCUCAUCAUUAGGAAACAUCAAUCCGUAUCCUGAGGACAACAGAAGACGGCAGGAGGACAGGAACUCUGAGACCUAGACACCACCAGCACCGAGACACAAAGCACCUGUGUGCACAACGCCUGUUUAACUACUAAAGCCUGUUUAUUAUAUUGUUCUACUUAUUUGCUGUGAGGUUAAUACUUAGAAAAUUUGUAUUUUAAUGUAAACAAUAAAAAAAUCACUGAUUGUAUGUUUUCUUUUAGAUGUAAUGGUCCAAACUCAGCCUUGUAGACAUUUAUUGCAUCCUGUAGGUAAAUACACAGAACAGGCUCAGGUCCAGGAUGACCCAGUAUGCUCUUCUUCCAUUCUGGCUGUUAGGGAUUGUAUCAAUAACUCAAUGCCUACUGAUGUUUCCACCUAACGGUAUUUAUUUAGAAUGCAGGUAAGAUUUAACUAUAUUUGUUAGCAAAGCAGACUGAUCUUGGGAAUUUCACUGCAGCACUGAUGUCCACCUCUCUGUACACAUUAGAGAGAAUUACCACUUUACAGCUAAACACAUUUAAUAAAGAUAUAGGCUACGCAUUGCAGACAAUAAAAACAAAGUUGUAAGCAUUAGAAUUAUAAUGAUCACAUUAAAGAACAUUUGGAGGAAUGUUCUUUAUUUUUGACUCGAAUCUCAAAUCUUUAAAUUAAAAUGUAACUGCUUUUUAUCCAUUUUCAGCCAUUAAGACACCCAAUAUUAAAUAAGACUACUUAUAAAAUUAUUCAUAAUUAUAUGUAUGUAUAUAUAUAUAUAGAUAGAUAGAUAGAGAUCUUAAUAAAAUGUAUUCUUUUAAUGGUGUUUUAAUGAGCUGUAUCAUUUUUUAAAACAUUUUUUAUAGAAAUAAAUAAGCAAGCAGCA